UACGUAGGGUGCAAGGCGUUAAUCGGAAUUACUGGGCGUAAAGGCGUGCGCAGGCGGUUGUGCAAGACCGAUGUGAAAUCCCCGGGCGUUAAACCCUCGGGGAAUGGCACUUGGUGACUGCACGGCUAGAGUGUGUCAGAGGGGGGUAGAAUUCCACGUGUAGGCAGUGAAAUGCGUAGAGAUGUGGAGGAAUACCGAUGGCGAAGGCAGCCCCCUGGGAUAACACUGACGCUCAUGCACGAAAGCGUGGGGAGCAAACAGG
rnacentral:rRNA from 1 species